GACCACAUCUGAUCCUCUGGCUGUGGGGCAUGUCAGAGUGCUCCCUGAUACCACCCGCCUACCAUCAACAGAGCUUCCUGCUGUGCUGCAAUUACCAAAGGCAGCGAGGAGGCAUUCAGCCUGGGAAAUUAAAAGAAAAUAGGCUUCCCUUUCCACUUACAGUGGUAGAAAGCCAGCUGGAAAUCCGAAUCAGGUUGUAGAUCUCAUGGGAAUCUCUUCCUGACGGCAAGUGACAAGAUUCCUGGGAGAGGAAGGGGCAACCUCUGCUGAGACCAGAGCUCCAGGAGAACUGCUGAAGAGCUCUCACAGCCUUGAAGCCCUUUUCAUGUGGUUGAGGAUGUGCUUCAUGACUCUGAGACAAUAUCAGGCUGGGACAAUUACCCCUGCCCCACAUUUCCUGAUUUCCAUGAUGUGUCUCAUGAAUGUGCAGAAGAAAACUGCAACACCUUCUUGGCAGGACCUACUCUGGAUAAGAGAGAGCCCUGGGUAGCACUGACUCCUGAUGAAGCACCACAGAGACUUCUGGAGAAGCCACUGAAAUGCAGUUCAGCAUGAGAACAGCGUGCAGGUUGCUGGAACCAUACAGCAAACUACCUGCAUACAGAGAGUUACUGUUAAGAAACUGAAGUCCAAAGAAAACAUGCAUAUGUAGGUGUGUGUGCAUUUUUUUUUUCUUCUUUCUCUCUCUCUCUCUCUCUCUCUUUUUUUAGCUUUACAAGAAGGAGAAGUUACAGAAAUUUGUAAGAAAAGUCCUGGAAAAUGAUAUCUGAGAGAAAAAAAACAACUGAGCUGCUGGAUAAACUUGCUCAGCUCAAGCAGACUCUUGAGCCUUCCUGCAUUUAGCGCGCAUCACUUACACAAAGGGCUGCAUAAUCCCAUUUCAGUACUGUCAGACACCAAACGCCCCAGAACAACAGUGUGGCAGUUAGGAAAGAUGUCUCCUUCCAGCAGAAGUACAAGAGAAAGUUGUACCUUGAGAGGGAUUAUCUCUGCUAGAGAGACGGGAUGCAUGAUUUGCUGUAUUCAUUUGCAUUAAAAAUGCUUUCCCUAUGCA